UGCCCAAGAGAUCGGGAUAACACCUGGAAACAGAUGCUAAUACCGGAUAACAACAGAUGAUGCCUAUCAACUGUUUAAAAGAUGGUUCUGCUAUCACUCUUGGAUGGACCUGCGGUGCAUUAGCUAGUUGGUAGGGUAACGGCCUACCAAGGCGAUGAUGCAUAGCCGAGUUGAGAGACUGAUCGGCCACAUUGAGACUGAGACACGGCCCAAACUCCUACGGGAGGCAGCAGCU
rnacentral:rRNA from 1 species